rnacentral:lncRNA from 1 species
UCAUUCUUCCACUGCUUGUAACGUUCAGAGAAGAGCCGAUUGACAUGUCCUCGUCCAUGUCCUCCAAAUUGUAGUUUGUGUGCAAUGUAACAAAUAAUUUGAAAGUAUUAGUAAUAAAAGGCAGUAAUAAAUAUAAAUAUAUAAAUUUUACAUGAAAAACAUUAAAAAGGCGACACUACAUACGAACAAUUGAUUGUGCAUCACGUUCUUCGUCUCCUCCAACAUCGCCUUCCAAGACUUCCACUGCAUAGGGCAAAAGGUCCGCACGACAUGUCAAUGCACUAUGCUCCUCCGCCGUUGGUGCUGCCCGAUGUCGCUCAUCAUAUCCGAUUGGGAUACAACCGUUGGUCACCCGAGUGACCUUCACCGGCUUCAAUUGCUGACAAGGUC